rnacentral:rRNA from 1 species
UAGGGAAUCUUCCACAAUGGGCGCAAGCCUGAUGGAGCAACGCCGCGUGAGUGAAGAAGGUCUUCGGAUACGUAAAACUCUGUUGUUAGAGAAGAACACGAGUGAGAGUAACUGUUCAUUCGAUGACGGUAUCUAACCAGCAAGUCACGGCUAACUACGUGCCAG